UUCCAGCUCGGCUUCCGCGACCUGGCCCGGGUGCAGGAGGAGGGCAUGGACCCCGAGAUCGGCUGCCUCAUCCGCUUCUACACCGGUGAGGUAAGUGAGGCCCCGGAAGUUAAUGACUCGCCCAGGUUCACGCGGCAGACGACAGACGACUCCGGCAGACCUCCCGGAGAGGCACUAGGAAACCCGCAAUCGGCUUAGAUGGAUCGCCAAGCCAGACGGGGUGAAGACGGAAGCUACAGUCAGCCUCUGAGAACCGUGAGGACUGGGACCUUAUGCAUUUGCCUCGAUUGUACUGCCAGCUGCUAAUACGGCGCUCUGCACACAGCCUGCGCCCAAGAAAUACUAUUAGUCGAUAAGGAGGGGAUGUCGAAGAGGAGCGGUUGCGUCUGGAAGCCGUCGCUGGCGGGCCAAAUCCCAGCUUGGACUCUACCGAUCAAGCGGACCGUCAGUCGAUGGCAUUUGAGCGCUUACUGCGUGCAGAGCACUGUACUGAGCUCUUCGGAAGAGUGCACCGUAACAGAGUCGGUAUAGACGCUUCCCCCUGCCCACAACCCGACGGCCCAGAGGGGGAGACAUUCAGUGAAAUAAAUAAAUAAAUUGCUGAUCUACACGAGUGCGUGGGGCACAGGUUGGAGAAGCAGCGUGGCUCAGUGGAAAGAGCCUGGGUUUCGGAG